rnacentral:rRNA from 1 species
UCGAGAAUCUUCGGCAAUGGGCGAAAGCCUGACCGAGCGACGCCGCGUGGAGGAAGAAGGCUUUCGGGUUGUAAACUCCUGUUGGGGGGAAACAAUACUGAGUGAACCCCUGAGGAAGCACGGGCUAAGUUCGUGCCAGCAGCCGCGGUAAGACGAACCGUGCAAACGUUAUUCGGAAUCACUGGGCUUAAAGCGCACGUAGGCGGCUUCGUAAGUUGGAAGUGAAAUCCCAUCGGCUCAACCGUGGAACUGCUCCCAAUACUGCGAGGCUUGAGGGAGAUAGGGGCAUCUGGAACUUCCGGUGGAGCGGUGAAAUGUGUUGAUAUCGGAAGGAACGCCGGUGGCGAAAGCGAGAUGCUGGGUCUCUUCUGACGCUGAGGUGCGAAAGCUAGGGGAGCGAACGGGAUUAGAUACCCCCGUAGUCC